rnacentral:rRNA from 1 species
AACGUAGGUGGCGAGCGUUAUCCGGAUUUACUGGGCGUAAAGCGUGUGCAGGCGGUCUUCCAAGUGGUGUAUGAAAUCGCCCGGCUUAACCGGGUGAGGUUAGGCCAGACUGGGAGACUGGAGGACGGGAGAGGGGCGUGGAAUUCCGGGUGUAGUGGUGAAAUGCGUAGAGAUCCGGAGGAACCCCAGCGGCGAAGGCGGCGCCCUGGCCCGUUUCUGACGCUCAGACACGACAGCAUGGGGAGCGAACGGG